GGUUGUGGUUCAGUGGUAGAGUGCUUGCCUAGCACAUGUGAGGCACUGGGUUCAAACCUCAGCACCA
rnacentral:tRNA from 1 species